rnacentral:rRNA from 1 species
UGGGGAAUAUUGCACAAUGGGCGCAAGCCUGAUGCAGCCAUGCCGCGUGUAUGAAGAAGGCCUUCGGGUUGUAAAGUACUUUCAGCGGGGAGGAAGGUGUUGAGGUUAAUAACCUCAGCAAUUGACGUUACCCGCAGAAGAAGCACCGGCUAACUCCGUGCCAGCAGCCGCGGUAAUACGGAGGGUGCAAGCGUUAAUCGGAAUUACUGGGCGUAAAGCGCACGCAGGCGGUCUGUCAAGUCGGAUGUGAAAUCCCCGGGCUCAACCUGGGAACUGCAUUCGAAACUGGCAGGCUAGAGUCUUGUAGAGGGGGGUAGAAUUCCAGGUGUAGCGGUGAAAUGCGUAGAGAUCUGGAGGAAUACCGGUGGCGAAGGCGGCCCCCUGGACAAAGACUGACACUGAGGUGCGAAAGCGUGGGGAGCAAACA